rnacentral:rRNA from 1 species
GUAGGGAAUAUUGCACAAUGGAGGAAACUCUGAUGCAGCGACGCCGCGUGAGUGAUGAAGGCCUUCGGGUCGUAAAGCUCUGUCGCAGGGGAAUAACACAAUGAAGGUACCCUGUAAGAAAGGAUCGGCUAACUUCGUGCCAGCAGCCGCGGUAAGACGAGGGAUCCUAGCGUUGUUCGGAAUCAUUGGGCGUAAAGCGGAUGUAGGUGGCUAUGUAAGUCAGAUGUGAAAGCCUGGGGCUCAACCCCAGAAGUGCAUUUGAUACUGCGUAGCUUGAGUGUCGGAGAGGUUACUAGAAUUGUUGGUGUAGUGGUGAAAUACGUAGAUAUCAACAGGAAUACCGGAGGCGAAGGCGGGUAACUGGCCGAACACUGACACUGAGAUCCGAAAGCGUGGGGAUCAAACAGGAUUAGAAACCCCGGUAGUCC